rnacentral:lncRNA from 1 species
AAUCCUUAAUCAAAUCUUAACCAAAUCCUAAAUCAAAUCCUAAAUGAAAUCCUAACCAAACUCUAAACCCUAGUAAUUUCCACAACAGAUUCAAACCUCAAUAAUUAAUGAAUAAAUUAUUGAUCUCAACUCAAAUUUUAUACACUUUUUAAAAACUAAGUUGAAAAUAAGCAAUUUUUUUUUUGAAAAGGAUCGAAAUUACCAAAUAGAUGAUAACCUCAAAAAUGUGC